GACGAACGCUGGCGGCGUGCUUAACACAUGCGAGUCGAACGGAAAGGCCCUGCUUUUGUGGGGUGCUCGAGUGGCGAACGGGUGAGUAACACGUGAGUAACCUGCCCUUGACUUUGGGAUAACUUCAGGAAACUGGGGCUAAUACCGGAUAGGAGCUCCUGCGGCAUGGGGGGGGUUGGAAAGUUUCGGCGGUUGGGGAUGGACUCGCGGCUUAUCAGCUUGUUGGUGGGGUAGUGGCUUACCAAGGCUUUGACGGGUCGCCGGCCUGAGAGGGUGACCGGCCACAUUGGGACUGAGAUACGGCCCAGACUCCUACGGGAGGCAGCAGUGGGGAAUAUUGCACAAUGGGCGGAAGCCUGAUGCAGCAACGCCGCGUGCGGGAUGACGGCCUUCGGGUUGUAAACCGCUUUCGCCUGUGACGAAGCGUGAGUGACGGUAAUGGGUAAAGAAGCACCGGCUAACUACGUG
rnacentral:rRNA from 1 species